rnacentral:rRNA from 1 species
GACGAACGCUGGCGGCGUGCUUAACACAUGCAAGUCGAGCGGUAAGGCCCUUUCGGGGGUACACGAGCGGCGAACGGGUGAGUAACACGUGGGUGACCUGCCUUUAGCUCUGGGAUAAGCCUGGGAAACCGGGUCUAAUACCGGAUAUGACUCCGCGGCGCAUGUUGUGGGGUGGAAAGCCUUGUGCGGCUGGAGAUGGGCCCGCGGCCUAUCAGCUUGUUGGUGGGGUGAUGGCCUACCAAGGCGACGACGGGUAGCCGGCCUGAGAGGGCGACCGGCCACACUGGGACUGAGACACGGCCCAGACUCCUACGGGAGGCAGCAGUGGGAAUCUUGCGCAAUGGGCGAAAGCCUGAUGCAGCGACGCCGCGUGAGGGAUGACGGCC